AUUGAACGCUGGCGGCAGGCCUAACACAUGCAAGUCGAACGAGUGGCGGACGGGUGAGUAAUGUCUGGGAAACUGCCUGAUGGAGGGGGAUAACUACUGGAAACGGUAGCUAAUACCGCAUACCAUCAGAUGUGCCCAGAUGGGAUUCGCUGGGUGGUGGGGUAACGGCUCACCAAGGCGACGCUCCCUAGCUGGUCUGAGAGGAUGACCAGCAACACGGGAACGGAGACACGGUCCAGACUCCUCGGGGAGGCAGCAGGGGGGAAUAUUGCGCAAUGGGCGCAAGCCUGAUACAGCCAUGCCGCGUGUAUGAAGAGGGCCUUCGGGUUGUAAAGUACUUUCAGCUGGGAGGCGUUACCCGCAGAAGAAGCACCGGCUAACUCCGUGCCAGCAGCCGCGGUAAUAC
rnacentral:rRNA from 1 species